CAGCAGUGGGAAUUUUCCGCAAUGGGCGCAAGCCUGACGGACCAACGCCGCGUGAGGGAGGACGGUCUGUGGAUUGUAAACCUCUUUUCUCUGUGAAGAAGUUCUGACGGUAGCAGAGGAAUCAGCAUCGGCUAACUCCGUGCCAGCAGCCGCGGUAAGACGGAGGAUGCAAGCGUUAUCCGGAAUUAUUGGGCGUAAAGCGUCCGUAGGCGGUUCAUCAAGUCUGCCGUUAAAGACUGCAGCUCAACUGUGGGCAGGCGGUGGAAACUGAAGAACUGGAGUACGGUAGGGGUAGAGGGAAUUCCCAGUGUAGCGGUGAAAUGCGUAGAUAUUGGGAAGAACACCAGUGGCGAAGGCGCUCUACUGGGCCGCAACUGACGUUGAGGGACGAAAGCUAGGGGAGCGAAAGGGAUUAGAUACCCCUGUAGUCCUAGCUGUAAACGAUGGAUACUAGAUGUUGCGCGUAUACGACCCGUGCAGUCCUCGCACGAUAACGGCGAUAAGUAUGUCAGCCUG
rnacentral:rRNA from 1 species